rnacentral:rRNA from 1 species
AUUGAACGCUGGCGGCAGGCCUAACACAUGCAAGUCGAGCGAGCGGCGGACGGGUGAGUAAUGUCUGGGAAAAUGCCUGAUGGAGGGGGAUAACUACUGGAAACGGUAGCUAAUACCGCAUACCAUCAGAUGUGCCCAGAUGGGAUUAGCUAGUAGGUGGGGUAACGGCUCACCUAUGCGACGAGCCCUCGCUGGUCUGAGAGGAUGACCAGCCACACGGGAACUGAGACACGGUCCAGACUCCGACGUGAGGCAGCAGUGGGGAAUAUUGCCCAAUGGGCGCAAUCCUGAUGCAGCCAUGCCGAGUGUGUGAAGAAGGCCUUCGGGUUGUAAAGCACUUUCAGCGGGGAGGCGUUACCCGCAGAAGAAGCACCGGCUAACUCCGUGCCAGCAGCCGCGGUAAUUC